GAUGAAGAACGUAGUGAAAUGCGAUAAGUAAUGUGAAUUGCAGAAUUCAGUGAAUCAUCGAAUCUUUGAACGCACAUUGCGCCCGCCAGUAUUCUGGCGGGCAUGCCUGUUCGAGCGUCAUUUCAACCAUCAAGCCCCCGGCUUGUGUUGGGGACCUGCGGCUGCCGCAGGCCCUGAAAUGCAGUGGCGGGCUCGCUGUCACUCCGAGCGUAGUAGUUACAUCUCGCUCUGGGCGUGCUGCGGGUUCCGGCCGUUAAAAGCCUUAUUUACCCAAGGUUGACCUCGGAUCAGGUAGGAAGACCCGCUGAACUUAAGCAUAUCAAUAAGCGGAGGA
rnacentral:misc_RNA from 1 species